UACGUAGGGUGCAAGCGUUGUCCGGAAUUACUGGGCGUAAAGCGCACGUAGGCGGCUUUGUAAGUUAGAGGUGAAAGCCCGGGGCUCAACUCCGGAACUGCCUUUGAUACUGGCGAUCUUGAGUCCGGGAGAGGUGAGUGGAACUGCGAGUGUAGAGGUGAAAUUCGUAGAUAUUCGCAAGAACACCAGCGGCGAAGGCGGCUCACUGGUCCGGUACUGACGCUGAGGUGCGAAAGCGUGGGGAGCAAACAGG
rnacentral:rRNA from 1 species